rnacentral:rRNA from 1 species
UACUAGAGUAGCACUCGCAUAUCAAUAAGCGGAGGAAAAGAAACUAACAAGGAUUCCCCUAGUAACGGCGAGUGAAGCGGGAAGAGCUCAAAUUUGAAAUCUUAAAGGGUUUCCCUUUACGAAUUGUAGUUUAAAGAAGUGUUUUCUGUUGAGGUUUUGGUAAAAGUUCUUUGGAAUAGGACAUCAUAGAGGGUGAGAAUCCCGUAUUUGACCUUUACUUUCAACUUUGUGAUACACUUUCAAAGAGUCGGAUUGUUUGGGAAUGCAGUCCAAAAUGGGUGGUAAAUUUCAUCUAAAGCUAAAUAUUGGCGAGAGACCGAUAGCGAACAAGUACCGUGAGGGAGAGAUGAAAAGAACUUUGAAAAGAGAGUUAAACAGUACGUGAAAUUGUCAAAAGGGAAGCGUUUGACACCAGUGUUGUUUUUCUGAAAAUCAAUUAAAGAACUGUUUAUGCUAAGCUGUUUAGACUUUAUCAGCUAUCUGUUUAGUUUUAGGCUUUUCUUUAAUGCACUUUUCAGUUAACAAGUCAACAUCAAUUUCUUUUGCUGUAAAAAAGCUUGAGGAAGGUGGCUUGAGAUUCGUCUUAAGUGUUUAUAGCCUCUUGCCUAUGCAGUCGGAGAGAUUGAGGUCUGCAGCGUAGAUCCUUCGGGGCUAAAUGCAUUUGUGCUAAGUUAUAGCAUUUUAUAGACAACUUGUUGACUAUGAUUUGUCUUGUAGCUUACUCGCUUAUGUUAUUUUACCUACGCUUAGGAUGUUGAGCGCAUGUCUCUCUCU